rnacentral:rRNA from 1 species
GACGAACGCUGGCGGCGUGCUUAACACAUGCAAGUCGAGCGGAAAGGCCCCUUCGGGGGUACUCGAGCGGCGAACGUGUGAGUAACACGUGGGUAAUCAACCCCUGACAUCGGGAUACCCCGGGGAAACCCGGAUCAAUACCGGAUAAGGUGCGGAGGCGCAGGCCGCCGUACCAAAGGUAGCUUCGGCUUCCGGUCAGGGACGAGCCCGCGGCCCAUUAGCUUGUUGGUGGGGUAACGGCCCACCAAGGCGACGAUGGGUAGCUGGUCUGAGAGGACGAUCAGCCACACUGGGACUGAGACACGGCCCAGACUCCUACGGGAGGCAGCAGUGGGGAAUCUUGCGCAAUGGGCGGAAGCCUGACGCAGCAACGCCGCGUGCGGGAAGAAGGCCCUAGGGUCGUAAACCGCUUUCAGGGGGGACGAAGCUUCCGGGGUUAAUAGCCUACGGGGUGACGGUACUCCCAGAAGAAGGUCCGGCUAACUACGUGCCAGCAGCCGCAGUAA